UUUCGCUGCUUCUGUCUUAUUUUCUGUUCCUUGGAAUCUCUGUAGUUUGCCCUUCAUUUUCCCCUAGCAACCAGAAUGCAUCUUUCCGGUGGUGGAUUCAUCUGAGAUCAGAAGUGGAAUGGAAGUCAUAAAGAGCCAAGAGGAAUCUAGUAACAAGACUACACUUUGACGGCAUUGGAUGUGUUUCUGAUAGACAUGCUUCCUUAUUACUUGAUCCUGUAUAGAUACAAGGAAGCCUUCAGUUUUGCUAUAUAGAGAGACAGAAAUCAGACAUCUAUUGCAUCCAAAUGCUUCCAUGCAGCGUCUUGCAAUCCCCAGCACUUAAUGUCUUCUGUAGUUUUUCCACAAGGUGGAUGUAUCUUUUCUAGACAUAAUUACCAUUUGUCACUGC